AGGUUGAGGGGGGCGAAAAUUAUUCACCAUCUGGAUCCUUUCAUCUCCCUCGCUGGUGAAGAGAAGAGUUCGGAAUUUCUCCAGCUGUAAAUUCAUAUGAAAUAACUUUACUACUUGCAAAGGCAAUUGGUGUUAAUGUAGUUGAAAAAAGGUUUGCAUCCUGGUUGUAGUAAAGUGGUUCUGAAAAAGUUCUUACCUCAGAAGGAAAAGAUUUGCUGUCAACUGUAUGCUCUGAUCCCUGGCUGUGCUUCAUUCCCCAAUGAAAAUGAAACUGCUUUAGCCUAUAGGGACCUUCAAGGGGACCCCCACUGAUCACUGUAAAUGGAAGUGCAUAAAGAGAAUGUAAAAGACACCUUUCCUAAGAGGAUCGCAAAUCAUUUUACAAAGGUGGGGAAGACAGAUAUGGAGAGAUUAUGGAAUUUGGUCAAGCUAAGAAGGUGAAGAAAUAUAAGCUACGAGAUCUUAAUUCUAAGUCAGUAUCAGGCUCACCUGUCUUGUCAUCAGCAUCUUCAAAGUCCACCGUGACUGAGUGGCCAUUGUUGGAGAUAUCAAGAGAUGUACACGAUUCAUAUGAGAUAAUAAGAGGCUUCAGACUAGGAUCAUAAACUGCUUGCGUGGAGACUAUAUCAACAGGUGACUGACGAUGCCCAUGGGCAAUGGGAUAUGAUUUGUACCACUCAGAAGGCCCUUUGAAACAAAGGAAAGGAAGACACUGUUACUUCACUUUUGCCACAGAUAGAAAAGAAUCAUUAGAGGUUUUUACGAGCUUCGGAUUGAAUGCCAUGUUCAUUGGAAAUCACAUAAGUUUGUCAUCAUAGGAGUUAUCUGAAAAACUGUGCAUUGUCUUGUGUGUGUUUACAGAUCCUAGCAGUGCAGCCUGCAUCCUGGUGGGCGAUUUAGCUCUUUUAUGAAUAGCAUAAUGAUGGGAACAUAAUACAGCCACAGGCACACCCAGACCUUUCUGCUUACCCCCAGCUUCCUGUAGAAAUUAAAUGCAAUUACAAAUAGAUUAUUCCAGAAUAGACUUGGUUGAGGAAUCUCUCUCUCUGUGUUGAUAUUGUAAACACAUACACUGUGUAUUUUAGCUUUACUGGGUAGGACAGUGGUAAAUGCUUGAGAUUCAAAUUAGAUGCUGAUGACUCAGAAUGUCUCAGCUACUAUAUGCUUAUUUUUAAACCCAUUUUAUGACUGCAGUAAAUCUUUGAGAGAUAGGCAUCGUUAUUCCAUAAUGCCCACUAUACUAUUUCUCUACCGCAAGUGAGCAGUAGAGGAUGAUUAUCAACACCUUUGGACUUCCUGACCCCAAAGGAGUGGGAUUAAAUACCAGUAUAAUCACACAGCUUUCUGCUCUAGGAGAUGGAGUGCUCUCCUGCUGUUUAAGAUAACAAGAUCAUAUCUACAUCAAACAAUGAUUUAUUGAUACCUUUUACUUUUGUUUCACUUGUGUAUUUUAUUACAACACACAGCAAUGUAAUUCUUCUAGUCCCUGUUUUGGGAAA